AAGGCUUUAUCAGCGCCACCUCAGUGGCUCGUCCAUUAGCGAGACGACAGCGAACUAGUA
rnacentral:rRNA from 1 species